rnacentral:lncRNA from 1 species
AGUCUGUGUGCUGACACCGUUACCCAGGUGAUUCAAAUGCACAACAAUGUUGGGAAGCUGUAGGGUACUUGUUCAGGUUGAAUGGUACCGAAAGAGAGCUGACAGUAAUAUCUUGAGAUGACAGCACAGUGUAAAGCAAGGUUUUUCAGAACAAGGGAGAUGCACACAGGUUUUUAGUCAGAAAGAAAGGGACAGGAGGAGCGGAAGAUGCUCAAAAGGGGAAGAGAGAGUUGAUGAAGAAAGUGGAUGGAACCAGGAGCCCGAAGAGAGAAGCUUCUCCCUCUGCAGGAGGGAAGGAGGAUGCCGGGAGAAGGGAGGAAGGUGCGGUCACAGAAAGUGGAGAAAAGGUGGUUGCUUUCUUACAUAAUGCACAGCCUUGAGGACAGGGGCUGGCAUCGAUCUUCUAUUUUUGGACCAUCCUAAGACACUGCUGCACCUUAGUAAUGAUUCAUGGAAGGAAAAGAGGAUAUCACAAGAAAAGAUUUGCAAAGCGUCUCUGCUGUUGAAAUGGAUGUAACAAAAAGGUAUGAGAGUUAAUACAACAACCUGCAGGCCAGAUGCUGCUGCUUCAUGUUUGAUUUCCAAAAGAAAACCAUGAAAACCUUUCAUUGUAAAAAUGAUUGGCAUCCUUUGAAAAGCUCAAGAGGAGAAACAUGUCCUGGAAUUUUUAAAGGAGAUAAAGUCUUUCUUCCCUUGACUUUCUUUGCCUCAUGCUCUUAAAAUCGGAAGAAAUCUUUUGAACCAGAACUUUUUUAAGAAGAUAGAAAAAAGUUUGUGCCUUCCCAAUGGCAGAAGCAUGGGAGAGAGUAUGUAUGGGAACUGUGUGCUGAGCAGUAGGGAGGAGAACCAACUAAAGGUGAAGGAAAAGUACAAAAAAGAGAGAUUUUGCACACCAAAGAGAAAUCUCUCCUGUUUCACAAGUUUUAUCAGGGUGGCCCUAAAAUGUUUUCCUUCAAUUCAUGUGAGUUUAAUAUUCAAGGUAUGUGAAUAGCCCAGUAGAUGCUUGUAAACUUGUUUUAAAAAUAGUUCUAGGAGGCCGGCCGGGUGGCGCAGCGGUUAAGUGCGCACGUUCACCACCUCUGAGCGGCCUGGGGUUCGCCGGCUCGGAUCCCGGGUGCGGACAUGGCACCGCUUGCCACGCCAUGCUGUGGUAGGAGUCCCACAUAUAAAAUAGAGGAAGAUGGGCACGAUGUUAGCUCAGGGCCAGGCUUCCUCAGCAAAAAGAGGAGGACUGGCAGUAGUUAGCUCAGGGCUAAUCUUCCUCAAAAAAAAAAAAAAAAAAGUUCUAAUUUUUUUCCCAUGGUUUUCAUUUUUGCUGUCAUGAAAAUUCAAUUUUUCAAUACCCCUCUUGGAGUUAAGAUUUAAAAUAUGCUUUCUUUUUCUUUCUUAUUUUUUUUCCCAACUGAUUGUGAAAUAAAGCAAAAACAUAAUGUGCUUUGUCCCCUAGGCAGGGUUUGAGGGUUUUUUAAUCCAAUGCAAAUAUAGUAAGUUGAUUGGAAUAUAUCCAGAAUCUUACAUCGUUUGUCAAACAAAUACUCAUGCCAUGUCUGCUUCAAAGUCAAUGCUCCUAGCAAUUUUCACUUGACAACAAAACUGUUUUCAUGAAAUUUCACAUUUGAGAUUUUUACGUAAGUUGACAUUGAGAAAUCUUAACUUGUUCUCAUCUGCUUGGCUUCAAUUUAAAACCUUAUAAUUUAAGAAGAUAGUUGCAGAAACAAAAAUCCACCUCGAGCAUGAGAAGGCUAAGUCAUAGUUGCCGUGACAAUGUGCCUUGCCUCUCCUGGCUCUGUUGGGAAUGGUGCUCUGUCAUCACUUCACCGAAGAAUCUGUAGGUACUUUCUGCCACCAGAGCUGUUCCUCAAGAUAGUUUCAAUGAAUGGAACGAGCAUCUCACCUAAGUGGAAAAUUCCUGUCCUUGACAUAUACCAACAGGACCAUUUCAACUGACCUCGUCUCUCAUCAACAGAGUGAUUAAGAAUUAUCUUUCAGAAAAUUUGCAAAGUCACGUAGCCAGAGCAUAUGCAGAAGAAGAAACCUUGAUGGGAAAGGAACAUAGAACCAAAACUCUCCUCCACCCAGAACCAGAGGACCAGGACAUGACCGGAACUUAAAAGUCGGACUCUUAUCAGAAGUGAGGGGUCCCUCAUUCCAGAAGAUCCGAUGUUAAAAUUCCUUCCCCACCUCAUCAAAAAUGUUUAGGAGCCUGUCGUAAAAGUUUAGAACCCCAUCACAAAUGUUUAGAACCCGGUCAUACAUGUUUAGAACCUUUCUAUCAAUGCUUGAAGCCCACUAAUCAAAACCUGUCCCCAGCGUUUCCACGUGCCGGGCUGUUCUCCCUAACUUCUUACAUUUUGCCCUAAAUCCUGAAUCCAGGAGACAGAUCUGAGGGCACACGCCCCCUGUCUUCCUGCAGAUUGAUCUUGAAGCAUAAAUCUGCUCUCUUUUCCCAAAGGCUGAUGCCGUAAUUAGCUGGCUUGUUUAUGUGCGUCAAGUAGGAGAACCCCAUUUUUGUGCAGUAACGUUUUGGGGAUU